rnacentral:rRNA from 1 species
UACGGAGGGUGCGAGCGUUGUUCGGAAUCACUGGGCGUAAAGGGCGCGCAGGCGGUUUUAUAAGUCAGAUGUGAAAGCCCACGGCUUAACCGUGGAAGUGCAUUUGAAACUGUGAGACUUGAGUACCAGAGGGGAAAGUGGAAUUCCCGGUGUAGAGGUGAAAUUCGUAGAUAUCGGGAGGAAUACCGGUGGCGAAGGCGACUUUCUGGCUGGAUACUGACGCUGAGGCGCGAAAGCGUGGGGGAGCAAACAGGAUUAGAUACCCUGGUAGUCCACGCGGUAAACGAUGUGCACUAGAUGUCGGAGGUAUUGAUCCCUUCGGUGUCGCAGCUAACGCAUUAAGUGCACCGCCUGGGGAGUACGGUCGCAAGAUUAAAACUC